AGGUGAGGGUUCCUCGUUGGAGAAGCAGGGCACGUGCAAAACCCUUCGGCUAAUACUUCAGCUGAAAAGCUCUUGCACGUGCUCCCCUUCUCCAACAUGGGUUCCUCAUCU
rnacentral:pre_miRNA from 1 species